AUUGAACGCUGGCGGCAGGCUUAACACAUGCAAGUCGAGCGGUAGCACAGGGGAGCUUGCUCCCUGGGUGACGAGCGGCGGACGGGUGAGUAAUGUCUGGGAAACUGCCUGAUGGAGGGGGAUAACUACUGGAAACGGUAGCUAAUACCGCAUAACGUCGCAAGACCAAAGAGGGGGACCUUCGGGCCUCUUGCCAUCAGAUGUGCCCAGAUGGGAUUAGCUAGUAGGUGGGGUAAUGGCUCACCUAGGCGACGAUCCCUAGCUGGUCUGAGAGGAUGACCAGCCACACUGGAACUGAGACACGGUCCAGACUCCUACGGGAGGCAGCAGUGGGGAAUAUUGCACAAUGGGCGCAAGCCUGAUGCAACCAUGCCGCGUGUGUGAAGAAAGCCUUCGGGUUGUAAAGCACUUUUCACGAGGAGGAAGGUGGGUGAACUUAUACGUUCAUCAAUUGACGUUACUCGCAGAAAAACCCCGGCUUACUUCGUGCCCGCCGCCGCCGUAAUACCGAAGGUGCCAGCGUUUAAUCCGAAUUACUGGGGCUUAAAACGCACGCAGGCGGUUUGUUAAGUCAGAUGUGAAAUCCCCGGGCUCAACCUGGGAACUGCAUUUGAAACUGGCAAGCUAGAGUCUCGUAGAGGGGGGUAGAAUUCCAGGUGUAGCGGUGAAAUGCGUAGAGAUCUGGAGGAAUACCGGUGGCGAAGGCGGCCCCCUGGACGAAGACUGACGCUCAGGUGCGAAAGCGUGGGGAGCAAACAGGAUUAGAUACCCUGGUAGUCCACGCUGUAAACGAUGUCGAUUUGGAGGUUGUGCCCUUGAGGCGUGGCUUCCGGAGCUAACGCGUUAAAUCGACCGCCUGGGGAGUACGGCCGCAAGGUUAAAACUCAAAUGAAUUGACGGGGGCCCGCACAAGCGGUGGAGCAUGUGGUUUAAUUCGAUGCAACGCGAAGAACCUUACCUACUCUUGACAUCCAGAGAACUUAGCAGAGAUGCUUUGGUGCCUUCGGGAACUCUGAGACAGGUGCUGCAUGGCUGUCGUCAGCUCGUGUUGUGAAAUGUUGGGUUAAGUCCCGCAACGAGCGCAACCCUUAUCCUUUGUUGCCAGCGGUUCGGCCGGGAACUCAAAGGAGACUGCCAGUGAUAAACUGGAGGAAGGUGGGGAUGACGUCAAGUCAUCAUGGCCCUUACGAGUAGGGCUACACACGUGCUACAAUGGCAUAUACAAAGAGAAGCGACCUCGCGAGAGCAAGCGGACCUCAUAAAGUAUGUCGUAGUCCGGAUUGGAGUCUGCAACUCGACUCCAUGAAGUCGGAAUCGCUAGUAAUCGUAGAUCAGAAUGCUACGGUGAAUACGUUCCCGGGCCU
rnacentral:rRNA from 1 species